rnacentral:rRNA from 1 species
UACAGAGGUCCCAAGCGUUGUUCGGAUUCCCUGGGCGUAAAGGGUGCGUAGGCGGUCGGGUAAGUCUGAUGUGAAAUCUCACAGCUUAACUGUGAAACUGCAUUGGAUACUAUUCGGCUUGAGAGUUGGAGGGGGGACUGGAAUUCUUGGUGUAGCAGUGAAAUGCGUAGAUAUCAAGAGGAACACCAGUGGCGAAGGCGAGUCCCUGGACAACUUCUGACGCUGAGGCACGAAAGCUAGGGGAGCAAACAGG